CUGGUGUUAUGAGAUUUUGAUGGCUUGAGAGUGAGUGGGGCAUAGCGACUUCCUUGGGCUUUAAUACCCUAAACCUCCGGAGGGGCUGUAUGCACCGAAGAGUGUCUGACAUCCUUUGAGGUGUGACACUGCUCCUAGGAGAUACGGCGUAAGUGGACACUCUCACUACACUUACAUGUUGUACACACAUAUAGUGAGGUAAGUUAAUAGUGGGUCUACAAAUGACCGGCCAUCAGGUACAGUUUUAUGGCGCCGCAUUUAUUUGAUCAUAGAAAUGUUUUUGAAAGUUUGUCGUUCAUUAAAUAUUUGGAUUCAAUCUUUUUGUUAUACUGGGCCCUAUGAAACUAUUAUUUAUCUGUUUUCAAACCUAGUUAAGGGUAAAGUUCCUUGAGCAGUGAGGACGAAAGCUCACCCCUACAACAGUUUGGUUGGAGGUACUAUGCAUUGGGACGGGAUAGUGACAAGGAGUUGGGUGUGCAUAUUUAUGAUCGGAUCUAUGAUUAGCCCACAUGUGCACAAAUUUGGAGAAUGUAUGCCCCAUCAGCGGCGGACGUCGAUAAAACGAUCUUAUCAAGUUGCGGAUCGGGAGACCAUGAGUAUAACAAGACGACUAACAAAGGGAAAAAUUAUAUUCGAGGGUGAAGUGAGGUGUGGGGUGUGGACCUUGAAACAUCGUGUAUGUUAUAUUGUAAAUUAAGAUUUUUUAGUUU